AAGAAAAAAAUUAAUAAAUUUUAAAAUUAAUAAAAAAAUUUUUUAAUAAAAUAAUAUUUAAUGGGGGUUAAAGUAUUAUUAAGAAAAAAUUUUUAAUUUUAUAAAGAAUUAGUAUUGAAAAAGAAAUUUGAAAUAUUAUGAAAAUAAAUUUUUAUUAAAGUAAUUUUAAUUUAAUGUAUCUUGUGUAUCAGAGUUUAUUAAAUAUAAUUUUUAAAAAAAAAAUUCUCGAAUUUAAAAGAGUUAAUUAAUUAUAAAAUUUAUUGUUGAAUAAAUAUUUUUAAUAAUUAAUUUGAAAUGAAAUGUUAAUCGUUUAUAAAUAUAUCUAGUUUUUUUAGAAAAAAAUUUAAUUUUAAAAUUUAUUAAAAAUAAAUUUAAUAUAAAAAUAAAUAAUAAGAAAAAAUUAUUUUAAUUAAUUAAUUUAUUUUUUUUUUAAAUUUUAAUAAUUUAAGGGAUAAGCUUUAAAUUAAAAAUAUUUAUAAUUUAAUUUAAAAAUAUUAAAAAAUUUUAUAAUUUAAAUUAUUAAUAAAUUUUAAUUUUUUAUAAAUAAUUUUAAUAAAAGAAAAAUUUAAAUUAAAUUUAAUUUUUUAUAAAAAAAUUUUUUUUAAAGAUAAAAAUAAAGUUAUAAUGAUAAAAUUAGUAUAUAAAAUAAAUUUAAAAUUAUUUAUUAAAAAUAAUUUUUAAUAAUAAUAAUAAAAUUUAAAUUUAAUAAAAUUAAUUAAAAGGAAUUCGGCAAAAUUAUAUAUUCACUUGUUUAUCAAAAACAUGUCCUUUUGAGAAUAAUUUAAGGUCUAAUCUGCCCACUGAUAUAGUAUUGAAGGGCUGCAGUAUAUUGACUGUACAAAGGUAGCAUAAUCAUUAGUCUCUUAAUUAGUGACUUGUAUGAAGGAUUGGAUGAAAUAUAAACUGUCUCUUAAUUAUUAAUGUAUAAUUUAAUUUUUUAAUUAAAAAGUUAAAAUAAAUUUAAAAGACGAGAAGACCCUAUAGAGUUUAAUAAUUUUAUUAAAAAUUAUUUAUUUAUAAAUAAUUAAAUAAUAAUUGAUAAAAUUAUUUUAUUGGGGUGAUAGAAAAAUUAAUAAAACUUUUUUUAAUUUAAUACAUAAAUAAGUGAAAUAAAGAUCCAAUAUUUUUGAUUAUAAGAAAAAAUUACCUUAGGGAUAACAGCGUAAUUUUUUUUUUUAGUUCAUAUAAAAAAAAAAGUUUGCGACCUCGAUGUUGGAUUAAGAUAAAAUUUAAAUGCAAAAGUUUAAAAUUUUGAUCUGUUCGAUCAUUAAAAUCUUACAUGAUCUGAGUUCAAACCGGUGUAAGCCAGGUUGGUUUCUAUCUUUAGAAAAAUAAAAUAUUUUAGUACGAAAGGAUCAAAUAUUUAAAAUAAUUUUUAUAUUAAUUGAAUUUUAAUAAAAAAUAAUAUAUAUAUAUAUAUAUAUAUAUUAUAAUUAGAAAU
rnacentral:rRNA from 1 species